rnacentral:rRNA from 1 species
GUAGGGAAUAUUGGGCAAUGGUCGGAAGACUGACCCAGCCAUGCCGCGUGCAGGAAGACGGCCCUCUGGGUUGUAAACUGCUUUUAUCUGGGAAGAAAAAGGCCAUGCGUGGCAAAUUGCCGGUACCAGAUGAAUAAGCACCGGCUAACUCCGUGCCAGCAGCCGCGGUAAUACGGAGGGUGCGAGCGUUGUCCGGAUUUAUUGGGUUUAAAGGGUGCGUAGGCGGCUGAUUAAGUCAGCGGUGAAAGACUUCGGCUUAACCGGAGCAGUGCCGUUGAUACUGGUUGGCGUGAGUGUCGGAGGGGUACAUGGAAUUGAUGGUGUAGCGGUGAAAUGCAUAGAUACCAUCAGGAACACCGAUAGCGAAGGCAUUGUACUGGCCGACAACUGACGCUGAUGCACGAAAGUGUGGGGAUCGAACAGGAUUAGAUACCCGUGUAGUCC